rnacentral:rRNA from 1 species
AGCGAACGCUGGCGGUAGGCCUAACACAUGCAAGUCGAACGGCAGCACCGUAAGAGCUUGCUCUUACGGGUGGCGCGUGGCGGAAGGGUGCGGACUACAUCGGAAUCUACUUUUUCGUGGGGGCUAACGUCGGGAAACUUACGCUAAUACCGCAUACGCCCUCCGGGUGAAAGCCGGGGUUCUUCGGACCUUGCGCGAUUGAAUGAGCCGAUGUCGGAUUAGCUAGUUGGCGGGGUAAAGGCCCACCAAGGCGACGAUCCGUAGCUGAUCUGAGAGGAUGAUCAGCCACACGGGAACUGAGACACGGUCCAGACUCCUACGGGAGGCAGCAGUGGGAAUAUUGGACAAUGGGCGCAAGCCUGAUCCAGCCAUACCGCGUGGGUGAAGAAGGCCUUCGGGUGGUAAAGCCCUUUUGUUGGGAAAGAAAAGCAGCAGGUUAAUACCCCGCUGUUCUGACGGUACCCAAAGAAUAAGCACCGGCUAACUUCGUG